rnacentral:rRNA from 1 species
UUUUUUUUAUGAGGAGGGGGGAUCCAGGUCUCUGUAGGUACACUGCGGAGUAUCAUCACCACACUAAAAACUUUACACGUGCCCUGUCUACACCUAUAGUGGGGUGUUUUUAUUGGGCGGCGGGUGCGGGCUUUAAUUGUGGGCGGGUUGCUGUGAGAGAGCCCUCUCAAAAAAAAAAGGCGAACGUUUGGGCUUCGGCCUGAUUUAGUAGUCUUUUUUUCUUUUAAACCCAUUCCUUAAUACUGAAUAUACUGUGGGGACGAAAGUCUCUGCUUUUAACUAGAUAGCAACUUUCAGCAGUGGAUGUCUAGGCUCGCACAUCGAUGAAGAACGCUGCGAAGUGCGAUACGUAAUGCGAAUUGCAGGAUUCAGUGAGUCAUCGAAAUUUUGAACGCAUAUUGCACUUCCGGGUUAGUCCUGGAAGUAUGCCUGUAUCAGUGUCCGUACAUUAAACUUGACUUUCUUCCUUCCGUGUAGUCGGUGGAGGAGAUGUCAGAUGUGAAGUGUCUUGCGAUUGGUCUUCGGACCGGCUGCGAGUCCUUUUAAAUGUACUAAACUGAACUUCUCUUUGCUCGAAAAGUGGUGGCGUUGCUGGUUGUGAAGGCUGCUAUUGUGGCAAAUUGGCGACUGGUUUGUCUGCUGCGGCGUUAAUGGAAGAGUGUUCGAUUCGUGGUAUGGUUGGCUUCGGCUGAACAAUGCACUUAUUGGACGUUUUUCCUGCUGUGGCGUGAUGGACUGGUGAACCAUAGCUCGGUGGCUUGGCUUUUGAAUUGGCUUUGCUGUUGCGAAGUAGGGUGGCAGCUUCGGUUGUCGAGGGUCGAUCCAUUUGGGAACUUAAUGUGUACUUCGGUAUGCAUCUCAAUUGGACCUGAUAUCAGUCAAGAUAGCUCGUAG